rnacentral:rRNA from 11 species
CCUUGGGCCUAAAAUACCUUGAAAGUGCCAGAUCCUAUUGGAUCUUGGAAGCUAAGCUGGAUUAGUUCUGGUUAGUACUUGGAAGGCAGAUUGCUAGUGAACAUGUUGGAGGAAGGC